ACUACAUAAAUCUAUUGAAAUCUUUAUAAAUCUAGGGUAGAGUACUAGUAUGUAAGUUUGCCUACUCUGAUGUAAAAACUCUACCUGCAGAUGUUCCUCAACAACUUGUAUCCUCAGCUCUUACUCUUCCUAAACAUAUGAACACAUUUCUCUCACAGCUUCUUCAGGUUCGAAAGAAGACCCUAUGCUCUGUGUUUCCGGUUUCCAUAGUUCAGCCGGAUAUUCUCCCUCGGGAUUUUACGCGGCAAGGAGGCGCAGAUAUUCUUACGAAAAUACGCAAACUUACAGUUAAGGAGCAUAAUUGGAGGUUAGAGAUGGCGGCUAUGACUCAAAAUACAGCUUUAGACAGGUUUUUGAAAUCUCAGAAUGAGGACGGGAAAGUCAGACAGGACAAGUCCCGGUAUAUAACUGAGGACAAGGGAGAGAGAGAGGACAAGGUCCCUCUCUGCGAGGACGAGGACAGAGAGAAAAAGAACAGUGUCCUGGAUAUAAGACUGGAGGGAGAUGUGCCGUCAGUUCGCCAGAUGUCAGAUAGAGACAGAUCCACUGCGGAUACCGUCUGAACAAAAAUCUUAAAAUCUACGGCGGACAUUGUCUUAUGACGAGGUGAAUCCAAAGCUCCCAGAUUAUACUUAGGAAUAAAGUGUUAGAACUUGUAUAUAUUUAAAUCUUGACGGCACUGUACACGUACUAUUAAGUAACCAUCCAUUUAAAGAGUGGCAUAGAGUGGCAUCUUAGAUUCACAACAACACACUUCAAAACUGUGUCUUGUCAUAAAUGAAUGAGAAAUCUUACCUUUUCUAACUAAUUUUUUCAAUUGUAUUUCUGUUAAAGAGACUAGUCGAUCUAUGAAGCAGAGACAAUGUAAUUAAAAGAAUCCGAAUGCGAAUUGUUUUUUUAGAAAAUCGGAAUAUACAAUUAUUUGCCUUAUUUUACUAAACAUUCUGAAAGAUUAUCGAAUAUUCACGUAAAAUAUUCUCCCGCUAUCCCCAAUUUUUACUGUUCCUUAAACCCAUUAUCUUACAAGUUAGGAAGAUAAAAAAUGUUCUAUUUCAUAAUGUUACCACUGUGAAUUGAACAUGCCACUCAGUAGAUGGAGGAGCACAAGAACUAAUGUCUUUAUUCCCUUUAAGCUUGAUAUAAAUCAUAUUGUGAUUGAUAGGGCUGGGAAAAGUUCCG
rnacentral:misc_RNA from 1 species